UUUAACUCAAGAAGAAAAAGUGAGUCUUCACUUAUGUUUAGAGUACAUAGAUUAAGCAGGAGUGUAGCAUGGCAUUAGGGUCUUCAUCUGAGGUGUGGCUAUUGGACCGCUUAGGUUGUUCUUUCAUAAUAGCAGGCGUGACAUAAAAAAGGUAAUGCAUCAAACGAAUAGGCCUAGAAGUGUGGUUCAACUUGCUCGAGGAUGAGCAAAGAUUUAAGUGUGAGGAGUUGAUAAUAGGUGAAGUAGACUAUAAUUAUGCCCUAAAAACACAUUUUUGUAUAGCUUUAAGGCAAAAAGUGAUAAACAAAGGCUCUGAUUAGUACUUUUCAUGCUUUGCAGGCAAUAUCUGAUAAAAGAAGUCGGUGGAGCACUUCUGGGAUCAAUUCCGG
rnacentral:lncRNA from 1 species